CAAACAUCUCAAGCUUGCCUUUAAGAGCAACUCUACACGUGCAACACUAGCAGCAGUGAAUGCAGACAGAGCACAGCACGUCUCCGGCUCACUCCAGAGGACUCCGCAUAUUCAAUAGAGCACAAUCCGCGCAGCCAAGGAAACACACCAAAACUUUGCCCCCCAAAUCCUCGGACCAUGAGGGUGGGGUAAACACGCAGAGAAGAAUAAGAACCGCAAACAAAAGCACUCCUAUUGGCUUUAAGAUCUAAUCUAAAAGAAAUAUCAGCUGCUAAAUAAUUUAGUUCAUAUACAAAUUCAAGAUAAGCGGAAGCCAUCGGCGUCUCCACGUUUUCAAUAAAAACCUUUUCUACGGUUAUUGAACACGGAGCGACCAGCAUCAAACUGAAGGACUGGAAUGGCAAUCACAUGGACAAUCAUUGUACUAGGUGCCCUCCUGCAUGGCACACACUCUGAUCUUUCCAAACCUCUGGAUUCCAGUACCCAACCCAUGCAACCCACUCCAGCCAAUGUGUCACAUCAAUACAAUCCAACUACCACACCCUUACAAUCUGUUUCUACCGAGACACCCUUGCAAACCAGUCAUGCUUCUUCUAUACAAACUACUGUGCAACAACCUUCUGUCACCACACAAACAGGUUCAAAAAUCGCUGAUUUAACCUCUCAAACUGCUGACUCUAGUACAAGCCAAGCACAACCCAACCCGACUGGUGUACCUUCGACAAAUGCUGCUCUUACGGUCUCAACUCACAAUCCUGAAAAUUCGAUUACAAAUUCUGUUAGCCCCACCUCAUUAACCCAAGAAACUUCAAGCUCAGGUAGAUCCUCAGCCACUACCCACAGCCAAGAUGGUGCUCCCAUACCCCCGUCUGACCAAGUUACAACAUUAAAAGACCCAUCAACGGCAACUGUUCCAACCACAACAGAGAACUCCAUAUCCCAUAACAAGCCAUUGCCUUCAGAAUCCUCCACACAGACUGCAACCAGCAAAUAUACCACUGGAUCACCAAAUGGUGAAACACUGUACCCAAGAGCACCAGAUUCUACAUCUGCCAUCUCUCAGAGACAUCAGACACUGAAAAUACCAACAACAGCUUAUCAAAUCACAUCUACUCCAAUUCCAGGUUCACGCAGACAUGACGAUGACACCACGACUAGCAUCUCUACUCCCAAAAUAGAGGAUAGGACUCCAGGAAUAUUUCUUUCUCACAAAUUUGAUUUGAGCAAUGCUACGGAGGGGAACAUCCUAUCUGAAGCCUGUAAAGCGUUGGGUCCAAAGAUGAAAGGUCAUUGCUCUGUGACCAUGAAGAUAGAUGGCAAACAAUUAACUGCAACAUUUACAAUAGACGCUCAUCGGCUGAUCCCACAAGAGCUCUACAAUCCCCCAGUACAGGAGAAAAAUAUAAACGAGGAGAGCAGAAGCAAAGAGUCAAUGCCAGAUACACUGAUUGCCAUUUUGGCUUCAUGUGGUGCACUGGUGCUCAUUCUGUGCUGCUUUGCUGCAUACUGCAACUAUCACCGUAGAUCCUACAGGAAAAAUCAGCAACACCUGACGGAAGAGAUGCAGACGGUGGAGAACGGUUACCAUGACAAUCCCACGUUGGAGGUGAUGGAGGUACAGCCAGAGAUGCAAGAAAAGAAACGGGCAUUGAACGGAGAAUUAAACGAUAGCUGGAUCGUCCCCAUAGACAACCUGCUGAAAGAGGACAUCCCUGAUGAAGAAGACACCCACUUGUAAUGGCACUGAUGAGCUGUCAGGAGUAUGAACCGUGCUGUUCUUGCAACGGUAGAUUGUGACCAGCCUGAAUUACAGAGAUGUCCAAACCGGGGCCCGAGGGACAAAGUUGACCCGUGAUGACCUUUUACUUGGCCCACCUUGUCAUAUAUUUUAAAAAUGCAAUUGACACAGCUCUUCAUUGCAUUAGUUAAGCAGAUUGCAGAAUGUUUCACUGAUCAGCCACAAUAUUAAAACCAUUGACAGGUGAAGUGAAUAACAUCGAUUAUCUCAUUACAAUGGCCCCUGUCAAGGGGUGAGAUAUAUUAGGCAGCAAGUGAACAGUCAGUUCUUGAAUUACAUGUGUUGGAAGCGGGAAAAAUGGGCAAGCAUAAGGAUCUGAGCAAUUUUGACUGGCCAAAUUGUGAUGGCUAGAUGACUGGGUCAGAGCAUCUCCAAAAUGGCAGGUCUUGUGAGGUGUUCCCAUUAUGCAGUGGUUAGUACAUACCAAAAGUGGUCUAAAGAAAGACAACCGGUGAACCGUCGACAGGGUCAUGGGCGCCAAGGUUCACUGAUGCACUUGAGGAGUGAAGGCUUGCCCGUCUGGUCCGAUCCCCACAGAAGAGCUACUGUAGCACAAAUUGCUGAAAAACGUAAUGCUGGCCACGAUAGAAAGGUGUAAGAACACACAGUGCAUCGCAGCUUUCUGCAUAUGGGGCUGCGUAGCCACAGACCGGUCAGAGUGCCUAUGCUGACCUGUCCACCGCCGAAAGUGCCAAAAAUGGGCAUGUGCGCGUCAGAACUGGACCAUGGAGCAAUGGAAGAUGGCCUGGUCUGAUGAAUCAUGUUUUCUUUUAGGUCAUGUGGACAGCUGGGUGCAUGUGCAUCGUUUACCUGGGGAACAGAUGGCAGCAGGAUGCACCUUGGGAAGAAGGCAGGCUGGCGGAGGCAGUGUGAUGCUCUGAGCAAUGUUCUGCUGGGAAACCUUGGGUCCUGGCAUUCAUGUGGAUGUUACUUUGGCACAUACCACCUACCUAAAGAUUGUUGCAGACCACUUACACCUCUUCAUGGCAACGGUAUUCCCUGAUGGCAGUGGCCUCUUUCAGCAGGAUUAUGCGCACUGCCACACUGCAAAAAAUGUUCAGGAAUGGUUUGAGGAACAUGACAAAGAGUUCAAGAUGUUGAUUUGGCCUCCAAAUUCCCCAGAUCUCAAUCUGAUUGAGCAUCUAUGUGCUGGACCAACAAGUCCGACCCUUGGAGGCCCCACCUCACAACUUACAGGACUUAAAGGAUCUGCUGCUAACGUCUUGGUGCCAGAUACCACAGGACACCUUCAGAGGUCUUGCGGAGUCCAUGCCUCGACGGGUCAGAGCUGUUUUGGUGGCACGAGGGGGACCUACACGAUAUUAGGCAGGUGGUUUUAAUGUUGUGACUGAUUGGUGUAUGUGUAUGUGUGUGUGUGUGUGUGUGUGUGUGUGUGUGUGUGUGUGUGUGUAUAUGUAUGUAUAUAUAUAUAUAUAUAUAUAUAUAUAUAUAUAUAUAUAUAUAUAUAUAGCUAGCUCUGGAAAAAAUUGAGAGACCACUGCAAAAUUAUCAGUUUCUCUGGAUUUACUAUUUAUAGGUAUGUGUUUCAGUAAAAUUAACUGAUACAUAUUUGACACAUAUUUGUUUCAUUCUAUAAAGUACUGACAACAUUUCUCCCAAAUUCCAAAUAAAAAUAUUGUAAAUAUUUAGAGCAUUUAUUUGCAGAAAAUGACAACUGGUCAAAAAAACAAAAAAGAUGCAGUGUUUUCAACCUCGAAUAACGCAAAGAAAACAAGUUCAUAUUCAUUUUUAAACACAAUACUAAUGUUUUAACUAAGGAAGAGUUCAGAAAUCAAUAUUUGGUGGAAUAACCCUGAUUUUCAAUCACAGCUUUCGUGCGUGUGGUUAUGCCACUCCUGGCGCAAAAAUUCAAGCAGCUCAGCUUUGUUUGAUGGCUUGUGGCCAUUCAUUUUCCUCUUGAUCACAUUCCAGAGGUUUUCAAUGAAUUUCAGGUCUGGGGAUUGGGCUGGCCAUGACAGGGCCUUGAUCCAGUGGUCCUCCAUCCACACCUUGAUUGACCUGGCUGUGUGGCAUGGAGCAUUGUCCUGCUGAAAAAAAGACCAAUCCUCAGAGUUGGGGAACAUUGUCAGAGCAGAAGGAAGCAAGUUUUCUUCCAGGAUAACCUUGUA